rnacentral:rRNA from 1 species
CUAUGCGCCUUGCCAGCCCGCUCAGUCAGAGUUUGAUCCUGGCUCAGGAUGAACGCUAGCGGGAGGCCUAACACAUGCAAGCCGAGGGGUAUGAUUCUUUCGGGGAUCGGAGACCGGCGCACGGGUGCGUAACGCGUAUGUAACUUACCCCAUUCACUGGGAUAGCCCUUCGAAAGGAGGAUUAAUACCGGAUAACACUAAGGUGGGCAUCCACUUUGGUUGAAAGAUUUAUCGGAAUGGGAUAGACAUGCGUCAGAUUAGCUAGUUGGAGAGGUAACGGCUCACCAAGGCGAUGAUCUGUAGGGGGCCUGAGAGGGUGACCCCCCACACUGGUACUGAGACACGGACCAG